UGGUCCCUACGGGACGCAGCAGUGAGGAAUAUUGGUCAAUGGGCGGAAGCCUGAACCAGCCAAGUCGCGUGAGGGAAGACGGUCCUAUGGAUUGUAAACCUCUUUUGUCGGGGAGCAAAAGACGCCACGCGUGGCGUUCCGAGAGUACCCGAAGAAAAAGCAUCGGCUAACUCCGUGCCAGCAGCCGCGGUAAUACGGAGGAUGCGAGCGUUAUCCGGAUUUAUUGGGUUUAAAGGGUGCGCCGGCGGAAGAUCAAGUCAGCGGUAAAAUUGAGAGGCUCAACCUCUUCGAGCCGUUGAAACUGG
rnacentral:rRNA from 1 species